GCAGGGUAGCAAUACCGCUGACGACCGGCGCACGGGUGAGUAACACGUAUCCAACCUUCCCAUAACUCGGGGAUAGCCUUUCGAAAGAAAGAUUAAUACCCGAUAGUACUCUAUUAAGGCAUCUUAAGAAAGUUAAAGAUUUAUUGGUUAUGGAUGGGGAUGCGUUCCAUUAGAUAGUUGGUGAGGUAACGGCUCACCAAGUCUUCGAUGGAUAGGGGUUCUGAGAGGAAGGUCCCCCACAUUGGUACUGAGACACGGACCAAACUCCUACGGGAGGCAGCAGUGAGGAAUAUUGGUCAAUGGGCGAGAGCCUGAACCAGCCAAGUAGCGUGAAGGAUGACGG
rnacentral:rRNA from 1 species